CCAAUAGCGUAUAUUAAAGUUGUUGCAGUUAAAAAGCUCGUAGUUGAAUUUCGGGAUUGACACAUCGGUCGUGCCUUAAGGGGUAUGAACUGGUGUAGUCAAUUUCUCACCUUCUGGAGAACCACGAUGCCCUUAAUUGGGUGUCGCGGGGAACCAGGACCUUUACUUUGAAAAAAUUGGAGUGUUUAAAGCAGGCAUUUUGCUUGAAUACAUUAGCAUGGAAUAAUAAAAUAGGACGGCAUGAUUCUAUUUUGUUGGUUUCUAGGAUCACCGUAAUGAUUAAUAGGGAUAGUUGGGGGCAUUAGUAUUCAAUUGUCAGAGGUGAAAUUCUUGGAUUUAUUGAAGACUAACUACUGCGAAAGCAUUUGCCAAGGAUGUUUUCAUUAAUCAAGAACGAAAGUUAGGGGAUCGAAGACGAUCAGAUACCGUCGUAGUCUUAACCAUAAACUAUGCCGACUAGGAAUCAGACGAUGUUAAUUUUUUAAUGACUCGUUUGGCACCUUAC
rnacentral:rRNA from 1 species